CAUGCCUUUGGCGUGUAAUGCUUUGAGUGAGAGUGAGGAUUUGCUUUCAUCAAUUGCACCAGGAAUCUUGGCUUACUUAUCAACUAUUUGUUGUGGCGUUUGUCAAAUUCUCAUCUAAAUCCUUCGAUCAUUGGUGUUUCAGCUUCUCUAAGUGUGGGGUGCCAUAGGAGGUGGGUUUAUCAAAUCUUUGGAUUCCAUAUCUACUUGUGCGUGUGGAUUUGAGGCUUGUGCCAUAGGGUUCCGCGUCAGUUGGUAUCAGAGCCACAGUGAGGUAAAUUCUGAUUUAUCUUAGGAUCUAGGGUUUUUGAGUUUUCCUUGUCUUUCUUGUUGAUUUCGGUGAAAACUUCUGUAUCCAUGAUUGCGCCUUCUUGAUAAAUUAUCACAUAAUCUCUUUUGGAAAAAAAAAAAAAUCGAAAUCCAAAAAAAAAUGAAAAAAUAAAUCGUCUUUGCCAUAUUUAUCUUGAUCUGGCCGAAAUUGUGAUAUGCUUCCUUUUUCAUCCAUAUUUCCUUACCUAUCUCAAUUGAUUGCUGUAAUUUAUGGGAAUCAAUUUGAAUUUUGAAUUUUGAAUUGGGCCGAAUCUAGAUUAGGAGAUAAAAGAAAUUCUGCCUAUUUCCUAAAGUGCACAUUUAAGGCAACUGCAUCUAAAUCGAUUUGGUGUCAAAUCCAUCUUUUAAUGCCCAUUUUCGUCCAUGAUGCUGCACUGAGUGAGAUUUUUUUUUGUCUAUUUGUGGGGUUUUGAUACUUGCCUUUUUGGGUAGAUUUAAAUAGAUCCGUAUUUAAUUUGCGUUGAAGCGAAUUAAAUUCAAACUUUUGUCCAGAUUUGUUUUUAUUUGAAUUCAAUGUUUCGUUUUUUGGUUUAAGCUUGCUUUUGCUUUCUUGACAUUGCUAGAGUAUUGUUUGAUUGGGUCUAUACUCUAGGUGAUAUUUUUCAAGUAGCACAAAGCCUAGUUCGUGUGUUACUUUCCAAAUUGUCAGUGUCUUCUUUCUAGUUUUUUGCGCGCUUCCUUCUUUCUUUAGGUUUUCUUCUUUGUUUCAUUAAACACACCUUGUGGUUGGUUGGUUGACCUUAGUUUCUGAAGUGCAAUUGAAGAAUCAGCAAAAGAAUGGUAAGAGUGCAAACACUUGAGUACUUUUUUUUAACACAAUGUUUGCUAGUUCUUUUUGUUCUUUAUUGAUUUAAGGUAGGAUGAGUAAAGACAAGAAUGUGGUUGAUCGUACUGAUGGAAGUGAAUCGAAUAUGGGUAAUGAUUAUAAGCUCUUUAAGAAGUCAGUCAGUGGUGAGUUACAAAGGCUCACUAAGAUUCUUGAGAGGUUGACUGAAACUAUGGAGAGUUUGAAUGUCUCACAAGCUUCCACUUCUACAAGAAUACCUCAAAAAACUCCUAAUUGCAAUAAUGAUUGUGAUGAUUCGGAUGUGUUGGUUAAUAAUGCAUUGCUUGCUGCACAUUGUGAGAUACUUGUUGCUAGGCGUGCUCUGAAUAUGCAGGUUAAGGAAGAAAGCCUAGAACAACGGGAAAACAUAUUUCACACUAGGUGUUUGGUUAAUGGAAAAGUGUGUACUCUCAUUAUUGAUGGAGGUAGUUGUACAAAUGUGGCUAGUGUGUAUAUGGUGGAAAAAUUGGGCUUGACUUCUAUUAAACACCCUAAGCCAUAUAGAUUGCAAUGGUUGAAUGAUUGUGGAGAGGUUAGGGUUACACGCCAGGUGGUUAUACCAUUUUCUAUUGGUAGGUACAAGGAUGAGAUCUUAUGUGAUGUGGUACCUAUGCAGGCAAGCCAUAUGCUGUUGGGUAGACCGUGGCAACAUGAUAGAAAAGUGCAACAUGAUGGGUUCAAUAACAAGUACUCCUUCAGUCAUGAAGGACAGAAGGUUAUAAUCGCUCCUUUAUCACCUCAAGAGGUAUAUGUUGAUCAAAUAAAGAUGCUGGAGAGGGAGAGGGAGGCUUCGGCCUUGGCCACAAAGGGGAGCGAGAGCUUGAAUUCUGCAGAAAAUAUGAGAGAAAAGAGUGAGUUUGAGGGUAAAGAGGCUGGAAAAGAAUCAAGACUAGUUCAAGGAGGGAAGGUAGAGAAAGAAAAGGAGAAAGAAGAGGCUAAAGUUCCAAUCUCAACUUCCAUAGAGAUUGAAAUUGAAGAGGAAGUUGUAAUGCAUGAAUCUAAUGUAGUUGUUGUUGAGAAUUCCAUCAAUGAACUUAUAGAAGAGGUUGUGAAUGAUGAGGGACAUGGGGAGAAUGUGAUUGAUGAGGUGGAGGAGGCGAAUGAGACUGUUUUGGAAGUUGUGAGGAGAAGGGGUCACAUCUACAUGAUCUUUCUAUGACUAAUAUUUUUAUGCCUAGUUCAUUUGUUCUUGAUGUGCAGGUUGUUGAUGAAAGCAUUCAUGACGAAAGUUUUAUCCUAUUUCCACCUAUUCAAAAGGAGGUCUUUGAAGAUACAUGGGUUCCUAAAGCUUCCCUUUUUGACAUAAAUAUCAGCAAGAUUCGAGGACGAAUCUUUUCUAAAGAAGGAGAGAAUGAUACGGAUUCAAUAGGGCAAAGUUCUAACAAUGGUGUGGAGUAAACUUAUGUCAUUCAAAUGGAUCUACAAGGAGUUCAAAAUCAUAUUCAUAUGAUCCAUUUAUAUUUGGGGCGUGCUUCAACUCACAUGGGACAGAUUUGGUGCAACACUUGCAAUCAUAGGCUUAGGGAGCCUAAUCAAACCUAUGGGCUAAAACUACACAAAGGGAAGCCUAAAGUGAAGAUCAAGUAAGGCUUUUGUGAAGAUUCAGUUUUGUUAUGAUGGGCUUGCUAUAUUUUUAUUAUUUAACACUUGUUUUAUUUUAGCUUUGUUUGGACUUGUAUUCUGGCCAUACUUUAACUUUUAUGUUUUAGAGUGUUGGGCCAUGUUUUGGGCUUAUGUUUUAAUACUUAUGUGUUAUUUUAGUGUGUGAUAGGGCUUGGACCUUAUGUGUUUAACCCAGGUCCAAGAAGAGUGUCUUAGGGUUUUAUUUAUUUUUCUCCUUACUAUAUAAGGAUAAGAAACAAUUGUAAGAGGUAGCUUUUAAUCAAAAAUUCAGAAUUCUGUUCAUGCCUUUGGCGUGUAAUGCUUUGAGUGAGAGUGAGGAUUUGCUUUCAUCAAUUGCACCAGGAAUCUUGGCUUACUUAUCAACUAUUCGUUGUGGCGUUUGUCAGAUUCUCAUCUAAAUCCUUCGAUCAUUGGUGUUUCAGCUUCUCUAAGUGUGGAGUGCCAUAGGAGGUGGGUUUAUCAAAUCUUUGGAUUCCAUAUCUACUUGUGCGUGUGGGUUUGAGACUUGUGCCAUAGGG
rnacentral:lncRNA from 1 species